CUCCUCCUCUUGUGGUGGCUCUCCUAGCUAUCCUGAGGUCUCCCUUGCACACGGGAGGUGGGGAGCGCGUCGUCCGGCCCCUAGCCGCCUCCCGAUGGCCGCAUCCCCAUCGGCGACUGCUCGCCUCAAGCCCCUGUAUGUGGAUUCGACGCUGUGGAAAGCAGCAAUCAACUUUUUUAUACUUGGGAAAGCAAAGUUGGUUUGCACGCAGAGGCAUCACUUAUCCGCUGUUGUUUCUACAGCUUCAGCUAGCAGCAACCACAGCAGUAGCAGUUCGAUUAUAAAAGGCAGCGACAGUCAAGAAAAAAACUGGAGAAUGGGGAGGACAAGAAUCUAGCAAGGGAGAAGGGCAAAAAGAAAGCCGGUGAUCAAGAUUUCAGGAAAGUCCCGUUGGAAAGGAGAGCUGUCCGAGUCUAGAUCGUGUCCACAUCAG